AAGCCAGUGACUGCAAUAAUCUUUUGUUUCACAGGUUUUGACUGUUAUUAUUAUCAUCAUCUAUAUUUGUUAAAAUAAAUAAAUAAAUAAAUAAAAGACUUUAUGGCACCAAGGUCUUUAUUUCCGUAUAUUUUGUUGCACAAAUUAGACACUUUCAUUGUUAAAUCUGACCUAGUAGUUGCACAUUUUAAUCACAAAUAUUAUCGAUAUUGUUUAGGAUUGAGAAAAAGGACUUUUAUGCCAAAUCCCAAUGAUGUCCCAGGUCAGUUUGACCCGACCAGUACCAAAGGGUUCGAAGAGUGAACAUAACUAAAGUGUCAGUUUUUUUUUCUGAAGGUUCAAUAAGUGUAGUCUUACAAAGCAUGAAUUUUUCCAUAUCGUUCUACUAGAGAAUAACAGCUGGCUCACUUUCAGUAAAUUAUUAAAUAAAUUUCACUUCCGUGGGUGUAAUCUUUAGAGCCGGGUUUAUAUCUGCUAAUUCCUCAUCUCUAUUACGGCAGUGAAAUCAAGGUAUUUUUAUUGGCAACAUAGAGUUCAUUUUGUUAAUUCAUAUAAGUAAUUGUAUAGUGUAAUGACUCAUCGGCAUCUGAAUCACAUUUAAUACUCAUAACAAAAUUAUUAACGAGAAAAUGAUUCCUUCAUGUUUGUAUGAAGGACCAUUUUGAAGAACCUCCACACAGAUAGAAUCAAGGAAAUGUUUGAGAUCACUACAGUAUUAUUCUGCUAUUUCAAGAGAUUUCAAACAAACAUGUAUCUGUUCUUCAGUUGCUCCAUCUGUAUCAGUGCAGAUGUUUUCAUUUCUGAUAACAAAAAUAGCAUUUAAAAAAAUACAAUGCUUACCACAAUUAUCAUUAACCAAAUCAUUUACACUUGUUCUAGCAUGCAAACGUCUCAAAUGCACGUCAAGCUACUUUUGGGUUGCUAUGAUUCAUGUUGAGUGCAAUCAUGAACAAAACCAGAUUUAAUAAAUCUUACAAAUCUACUAAGAACUUCCAUAUAUCACUGUUUGGCCCAGACUAGUAAAUUAGAUCAAAUUGCAUGCAGCAAGCAGCAAAAUAUAGAAGAUACUGUAUAUCAUGAGCUUAUUAUUAUAAGGUUUCUGUAAGCAUGUCGUUCUACUGUAUAUUUACCCGGAUAGACUAUAAUGCCGAGGACGUGCAUCCCAGCAAGUGGUAAUAUCUUCUAGUCUAGUCGGAAGUAUCUUAUAUUUCUUAUUAUAAUAUAUUCUUCAUAUAUUUUAUUAUAUUCUCACUGCACUAAAAAAGACAUUGCAUUUAACAUGUAAUAACUAAAUAAUUAAAAAUAAAAAAUAAAUAUGCAAUAUCUUAAAUCUAGACCAAUCUAGCUAGUAUUUCUUAUUAUAGAUCACAAUAAAGGAUUUAAUGAAAGGUUUUACAUUUUACACAUUUUAGAUUUAUUGUAAAGAUUUGACUUUUAUUGUACAUAUUUUAUGCUUUACGUUAUCUUAUUCUACUGGAAAAUCAUUGUAGCUUUAUUCUAGAAAUUAAUGUUUAAGUUAGAAAAAUAAUCUGCCAAUAGAACAAAAAAAACAGUAUAGUAAAUUAAAUUGAAGUAAAAUAUGCCUAGAAAUACUUUUAAUAAUCUUAUUUUUGUUUUGUUGAAAUGCUUGGCCAGAUUAUUUUAGCUUGCUAAGAUGUGUUAUUAUUUUUUGUAGUGCAUAUUUAUUAGUUUUGCUUUUAGUUACUAAGUCAUUACAAGCGUGAAAUGUAACUGUGUCUUUCAGUGGAGUGGGAAUGGAAUCUCUGAAUGUAUUAUUCUCUUGUUUCAGCUUUGGCUGUAAUCAGACGAUGUCAUGUAUUUUAACUGUGGUUGAGAUAACACGAAGAGAAACGGCUUCCAGUUAAAGAAAAACUGUAGCUUUCAGAACUAUUUAUAUAUACAGUAGGAAAUUUCACAAUUUUACUCUGUUGGGUUUUUCCACUUUGCUACACAUGUGCAUUUCAUCAACAUGUCAUCAGCCAUUUAUAAGUGUGAUCUACUAGCAUGCCAUGACCACUUAGUGUGAUUUAAUUCGGUCAUUUUGAGAUGUGUUCUUCUUCAUUUCUGCACUGGUGUCCCUAAUGUCAUGGUUGUCUGAGUUUUGGGUUUCACUUCUGUGAUAAAUACGGAGUCCAAGAUUUCACAAGUGCACAUGUUUAACAACACCUGUAAGUCCACAGCACAACAUCAUAUUUUUGAUAACAGCAGGAUCUUGAUGAUGUCUUGUUGUUUUGCAGCUAUGUUGGGUUAUUGUCAGUUCAUUAAAAAUGAAACCCUGCCCUAAAGCUAAACUGCCUAGUUAGUGCAACCACCAAAGACAGAAUUUGAUACACAGCAAUGAAUAUCAAGACUGAUUGCAAGAAACUGGGAGACAUGCCUAAAAGCCAUCCGUUUCAAAUCUAGUUCAAAUAGCACGCAAUUCAACUGCACGAGAUUUCAACGAGUUUGAAUUCUGAUCUAGGAUCAGUUAUCAGCUUCCAAACUGCCCAUACUGAUUUGGAUCCUCUGUGUCCUGCUGGGUUUGGGCCUUAAGCUCCAUCUGCUUAGCCAUUGAACCCAGCAGGACACGGUAGCCUGGGGCUGCUGAGGGUGGACAUUGCUUUGGUAUGUGGCUAUCUAUCUUUAGAAUAUCUUUUUUUUUUGCAGUGAUGACAGAAAGCUGACUGACAUUUCCACAUAAAUAUAACUGGACUCUGACAUGUUAUUGAGCAAUAUUGAGCUUUCUUGUGAGUCUAUUCUCUCUCUCUCUCUCUCUCUCUCUCUCUCUCUCUCUCUCUCUCUCUCUCUCUCUCUCUCUCUCUCUCUCUCUCUCUCUCAAAUCUUGUUCAAAAGAGGCUGUCCUGAAAUGGAUAACCACACACACACACACACACACACACACACACACACACACACACACACACACACACACACACACACACACACACACACACACACGUGCGCGCGCACACACAUAUAGUGGCACUGCUCUCAGCCCCUCACUUCCUCUUAUUGUAAGCAGCAGGAAGAAGAUAGGCACAGAGACGGUUUCCGUUCAAAAGGCACAGAAUAAAAGAUCAGAUGCCAGUUCUGCAGCAGGUCAGUGGAACCAGGAUCCUAUGCCAGGGAACUUGGGGCACGAGGCUGAGGACACCCCAUCCGACCCAUAGUGCAGCACUCCCUCACACAGACAUUUUGGAGAUCAAUCAGCCUACAAAGCAUGUCUUCUGAUUGAGGGAAACAAAUCAGAGUAUGAAGAGGAAACUCCUGAAACACUGGGAAAACAUACAAAUGCCAUGUUUACAAGAGGCAGGGUCUGAACAAACCACCCCCCACACCCCCACCGCCCCCCUUAGUGACGCAAGUCUGCCAACCGCUACGCCACUUUAUCAUUAAAAUCUGCCAUGGUUUUCAACAAUACUGAUGAAUUUGUUUCCAAAUAAAUUACACAGUCAAUAAACUGAUACUGAAACUCUUACUGUCAUAGCCAUUCUGGGUCUAAUAUGCCUCUAUGUCCUGAAUGAAUCAGGAGAGGUCUACAUAAGGACUACUUCAUCAACUUGAUGGCUUCCCUCAUCACUGGAGUCCAUCAGUUCCUACUAUCGUUACUGCGAUUACAGAUCUGUCUGUCAUUUCUAACAUGAGCACUGAAGUCUGCCAUUCAUAUUGUGGAGUUAGAAGGAUGUACGACUUCAAGCUCCUCAUUCUCCAAGAAGGCAAAUGUCAGAGUUAAAAUUUACAGCAUUAGCAGACACCCAGAUGUGUCAGCUUGGUGGACCUGGGACACGAGCCCGCACCCCUCUGAUCAGUAGUCCAAAACUUCAGCCACUAGGCUAUCACCAGUUGUCCUUCCUGAGUCUUGAAAUCUCAAUAAAGCAUUCAUCCAGUUCAAUGGGUAAAGUGUACCCGAAGUGCAAGGAUCUGAAUGAAUGAUUGCAUCUGAAUGAUUUUCCCUCUUUUAUUUUUUCAGCUCCAGAAUGGUUUGCUAUUCUCCCAUAGACUGCACUCUGAUCUUUGUUGUUUUAACAACAAAUGCAGAUUUUACAGGUUCAACUGAAAUCAAAAACAGGGUGGAACUUCUCAGAGCUAUAAAUUGUAUAAAACUAACUAACUAAUGCAACUAACUAAUAAUUGGGGGCUGGUCUCAUAUAAAAUGUGCCAUGUUCUAUGUUGUUUAACUCAUCAGUAUAUAAAUAGGAAAUACAUACAUUUUCAUUGUGUGAUCUUAAAAACUAACAAUCUACAGCAAAAAAAUAAGUUAUAAUAACUGGGCUUACCAUAUAUAUUUAUAUAUACACUCACUUGCUCCUCUUAGCUCCUAUUUCCUUUUGAGCAGUAAAAUACAGGGUGUAUUUGAGUGUAAGGGAUCACAAGGUCUCAUAAAUUCAUCAUAUUUUGAACACCUUUGCAUUGCAAGGAAGCUACAUGUACAAUGUGUGCCACGCAGAUACCAAGCUAUCGGUGGUGGAUUCUUAUUAAUGUAAACCUCGUAAUGACUUGAUGAAUAUUUAUGACGAGUAAAAUAUAGAAGAUCUUUUAUUAAAAUCCUCUCAGCUUAGAACAAAUGAUAACAAUUCAUAAAAAUAGCAUGAUUAAUAUUCUCUGACUGCUUCUGAGAGCAUUAGCAUUGCACAAACAAAUUACUCCUCUCACCAACAUGCUCAUCAGCAUGCACAUACACACGCACACACACACACACACACACAUACACACACACAUACACACGCCAUGCUGACUAUCACGUCCACAGUAGCUGCACACUGACACAAGCGUGUGUGCUGCACACCAAACCAGUCGAUGAAUCAUUAACCAUCUGCUGUUCAGACAGGGAGAGAAGGGCAGCGAGAGAAUGAGAGAGAGAGAGAGAGAGAGAGAGAGAGAGAGAGAGAGAGAGAGAGAGAGAGAGAGAGAGAGAGAGAGAGAGAGAAAGAGA